rnacentral:rRNA from 1 species
GGCAGCAGUGAGGAAUAUUGCACAAUCAACGCAAGUUGGAUGCAGCAACGCCGCGUGGACGAUGAAGGCUCUCGGGUUGUAAAGUCCUUUUAAGAGGGAAGAGGAAGGACGGUACCUCUUGAACAAGUCUCGGCUAACUACGUGCCAGCAGCCGCGGUAACACGUAGGAGGCAAGCGUUAUCCGGAUUUAUUGGGCGUAAAGCGCGCGCAGGUGGCCAGGUAAGUCGGGUGUGAAAGCCCCAGACUCAAUCUGGGGAGGUCAUUCGAUACUGCUUGGCUUGAGAGCGGGAGAGGGAAGCGGAAUUCUGGGUGUAGUGGUGAAAUGCGUAGAUAUCCAGAGGAACACCAGUGGCGAAGGCGGCUUCCUGGCCCGUUUCUGACACUCAGGCGCGAAAGCGUGGGGAGCGAACGGAAUUAGAAACUCCGGUAGUCCACGCCGUAAACGGUGGGUACUAGGUGUGGGGAGUACUGACCCUCUCUGUGCCGUAGCUAACGCGUUAAGUACCCCGCCUGGGGACUACGGCCGCAAGGCUAAAACUCAAAGGAAUUGACGG